UGGUUCUAGCAUUUGAUUUGAUAUUGAUGUUAUUCUUGCACUUUAAUGCUUAUGUUUGAUUUAAUUGUGAUUGAGAAAUACUUUUGAAUCUAGGUUUAUAAUAAUCAUCUAUCAAAACAUAAGUUCUAGACAUGGAAUUGAUGUUUUGAUAAUCACCUUUUGUAUCCAAACUUAAAGCUUUCUUAUCAUUCAAUAGAUUGAGAAAUCAUCGAUUGAACGAUAAGACCGACUCUUGAAUCAUUCAAUAGUUUGAGACAUCGACGAUUGAAUGAUAC
rnacentral:lncRNA from 1 species